GACGAACGCUGGCGGCGUGCCUAAUACAUGCAAGUAGAACGCACAGUUUAUACCGUAGCUUGCUACACCAUAAACUGUGAGUUGCGAACGGGUGAGUAACGCGUAGGUAACCUGCCUGGUAGCGGGGGAUAACUAUUGGAAACGAUAGCUAAUACCGCAUAAUAUUGAUUAUUGCAUGAUAAUUGAUUGAAAGAUGCUAUUGCAUCCCUACCAGAUGGACCUGCGUUGUAUUAGCUAGUAGGUGAGGUAACGGCUCACCUAGGCGACGAUACAUAGCCGACCUGAGAGGGUGAGCGGCCACACUGGGACUGAGACACGGCCCAGACUCCUACGGGAGGCAGCAGUAGGGAAUCUUCGGCAAUAGACGAAAGUCUGACCGAGCAACGCCGCGUGAGUGAAGAAGGGUGUCGGAUCGUAAAGCUCGGUUGUAAGAGAAGAACGGGUGUGAGAGUGGAAAGUUCACACUGUGACGGUAGCUUACCAGAAAGGGACGGCUAACUACGUG
rnacentral:rRNA from 1 species